GGAAACCAGCUGUGGACUGAGUGUAGGAAAGGGCCACACUUGGCUGGAGUUGUUGGUUCCCUGUGGCGCACGGCACAGCAGCAGGUGUAGAACUGAGUAGCCCCAGCGUGUGGUCUGGCCCUGCUGAGAGCAGACGGGAGGCUGGGCCAGCCCAUGGGGAGGGACUUGCCACUGGCAACAAGCCAUCUCUGUCAUGUAGGGGACGAUUCUGGUGGAGCAGGGGGCUUCCUGGCAGGCCCGUGUUGGCCACACCCUUGGUCAGGGUCACCUCUGCGGUAGCCCCCAGUGGGCGAAGUCGCUUGUCGUUGGGAUUUGUUGUAAAAGCCAAAUGCAGGAAGAGCCCUGGAGCUCGGAGUGGAGCCCUUGGGCUCCUGCUGGCAGUGCGCCUGUGGCCCUAGGUGGCCCUGGGUUUGAGAGCGGCAAGGAGGGCUGAGGUCCUGAGGACAGCCCUGCUGUGCCCUAGGAGGCCAGGUGGAUGGUACCCUGGCCCUUCUCAGGGGGCCCGGGGUGGAGCCACGUGGAGCCUGGGAUGACGCCCGCCUGUCCUGUGUCAAGCAGCUGCCAACGUGCUACUCUCGGAGCAGGGGGACGUGAAGCUGGCGGACUUUGGGGUAGCAGGGCAGCUCACAGACACGCAGAUUAAGAGGAACACAUUCGUGGGCACCCCCUUCUGGAUGGCGCCUGAGGUCAUCAAGCAGUCGGCCUACGACUUCAAGGCUGACAUCUGGUCCCUGGGGAUCACGGCCAUUGAGCUGGCCAAGGGGGAGCCUCCAAACUCUGACCUCCACCCCAUGCGCGUCCUGUUCCUGAUUCCCAAGAACAGCCCACCCACGCUGGAGGGCCAGCACAGCAAGCCCUUCAAGGAGUUCGUGGAGGCCUGCCUCAACAAAGACCCCCGAUUCCGGCCCACGGCCAAGGAGCUCCUGAAGCACAAGUUCAUCACCCGCUACACCAAGAAGACCUCCUUCCUCACGGAGCUCAUCGACCGCUAUAAGCGCUGGAAGUCAGAGGGGCAUGGCGAGGAGUCCAGCUCUGAGGACUCUGACAUUGAUGGCGAGGCGGAGGACGGGGAGCAGGGCCCCAUCUGGACGUUCCCCCCUACCAUCCGGCCGAGUCCACACAGCAAGCUUCACAAGGGGACGGCUCUGCACAGUUCACAGAAGCCUGCGGAGCCCGUCAAGAGGCAGCCGAGGUCCCAGUGCCUGUCCACGCUGGUCCGGCCCGUCUUCGGAGAGCUCAAAGAGAAGCACAAGCAGAGCGGCGGGAGCGUGGGUGCGCUGGAGGAGCUGGAGAACGCCUUCAGCCUGGCCGAGGAGUCCUGCCCCGGCAUCUCAGACAAGCUGAUGGUGCACCUGGUGGAGCGAGUGCAGAGGUUUUCACACAACAGAAACCACCUGACAUCCACCCGCUGAAGCGCGCUGCUGUUCAGAUAGGGGACGGAAGGUCGUUUGUUUUUGUUCUGAGCUCCGUAAGAACUGUGCUGACUUGGAAGGUGCCCUGUGCUGUGUCGUGCCUGCAGGGACACGUCGGAUCCCGUGGGCCUCACAUGCCAGGUCACCAGGUCACCGUCUCCUUCCACCCCUGCAGUGUGCUGUUCUGCACGUCAGGGACGCUGUUCUCUAUGCCCACUGCCCUCCUCCCUCUCCUGGCCCAGCAGUAUUGCUCACGGGGGCUCCAGCAGCCGGCGUGGCCCUCAUGAGCUACGCCUGGGUCUUCUGCAGACUCAUGCAGCCCUAUGGCCGCUCAGACCAAGGCGCAGAGCAACUAUCAGGGCAGCUCUGCCUCCUCCUCCCAUGAGGUGGGGAGAGGCAACAGGGCAGCCCCCAGAGGAGUGUCCUGGCCGCUGUCCUCCCGGGGCCCAUGAUGGCCAUAGAUUUGCCUUGUGGUGUUGGAUCAGGUACUGUGUCUGCUCAUAAGUACUUGUGUCAUCCAGAAUGUUUUGUUUUUUAAGAAAAUUGAAUUGUUUCCUGAAAUAUUCUGAGGUUAAUAUGUUAGUUUUCAUAGAACAUUGAGAGGCCCC
rnacentral:sRNA from 1 species